CCUACGGGGGGCAGCAGUGGGGAAUAUUGCGCAAUGGGCGAAAGCCUGACGCAGCGACGCCGCGUGAGGGAUGAAGGUCUUCGGAUCGUAAACCUCUGUCAGCAGGGAAGAACGGUCACUGUGCUAAUCAGCAGUGCAUUGACGGUACCUGCAAAGGAAGCACCGGCUAACUCCGUGCCAGCAGCCGCGGUAAUACGGAGGGUGCGAGCGUUAAUCGGAAUUACUGGGCGGAACGCGCUCGUAGGCGGUAGGUCAAGUCAAGGGUGAAAUCCCCGCGCUCAACGUGGGAACUGCCUUUGAAACUGGCAAACUGGAGUGUGUGAGAGGAUAGUGGAAUUCCAGGUGUAGGAGUGAAAUCCGUAGAUAUCUGGAGGAACAUCAGUGGCGAAGGCGACUAUCUGGCACAUAACUGACGCUGAGGAGCGAAAGCGUGGGUAGCAAACAGGAUUAGAUACCCCUGUAGUC
rnacentral:rRNA from 1 species